GAUGAACGCUAGCGGCAGGCCUAACACAUGCAAGUCGAGGGGCAUCACAGAUUAGUUUACUAAUUGGGUGGCGACCGGCGCACGGGUGCGUAACGCGUAUGCAACCUACCUUAUACUGGGGUAUAGCCCGGAGAAAUUCGGAUUAAUCCCCCAUAGUACUAUUUGACCGCAUGGUCAGAUAGUUAAAGCAUUGCGGUAUAAGAUGGGCAUGCGUCCUAUUAGCUAGAUGGUGAGGUAACGGCUCACCAUGGCUACGAUAGGUAGGGGGCCUGAGAGGGUGGUCCCCCACACUGGUACUGAGACACGGACCAGACUCCUACGGGAGGCAGCAGUGAGGAAUAUUGGACAAUGGGCGAGAGCCUGAUCCAGCCAUGCCGCGUGCAGGAAGACUGCCCUAUGGGUUGUAAACUGCUUUUAUACAGGAAGAAUAAGCCUUACGUGUAAGGUGAUGACGGUACUUUAAGAAUAAGGACCGGCUAACUCCGUGCCAGCAGCCGCGGUAAUACGGAGGGUCCGAGCGUUAUCCGGAAUUAUUGGGUUUAAAGGGUCCGUAGGCGGAUGAUUAAGUCAGGGGUGAAAGUUUGCAGCUCAACUGUAAAAUUGCCUUUGAUACUGGUCAUCUUGAGUUGUAUUGAAGUAGGCGGAAUAUGUAGUGUAGCGGUGAAAUGCAUAGAUAUUACAUAGAACACCAAUUGCGAAGGCAGCUUACUAAGUACUAACUGACGCUGAUGGACGAAAGCGUGGGUAGCGAACAGGAUUAGAUACCCUGGUAGUCCACGCCGUAAACGAUGGAUACUAGCUGUUGGGCGCAAGUUCAGUGGCUAAGCGAAAGUGAUAAGUAUCCCACCUGGGGAGUACGUUCGCAAGAAUGAAACUCAAAGGAAUUGACGGGGGCCCGCACAAGCGGUGGAGCAUGUGGUUUAA
rnacentral:rRNA from 1 species